GCACAAGCAGUGGAGUAUGUGGUUUAAUUCGAAGCAACGCGAAGAACCUUACCAGGUCUUGACAUCCGAUGCAUAGUGCAGAGAUGCAUGAAGUCCUUCGGGACAUCGAGACAGGUGGUGCAUGGUUGUCGUCAGCUCGUGUCGUGAGAUGUUGGGUUAAGUCCCGCAACGAGCGCAACCCUUAUUGCCAGUUACUACGCAAGAGGACUCUGGUCAGACUGCCGUUGACAAAA
rnacentral:rRNA from 1 species